UUAAAUUGAAGAGUUUGAUCAUGGCUCAGAUUGAACGCUGGCGGCAGGCCUAACACAUGCAAGUCGAACGGUAACAGGAAGCAGCUUGCUGCUUUGCUGACGAGUGGCGGACGGGUGAGUAAUGUCUGGGAAACUGCCUGGUGGAGGGGGAUAACUACUGGAAACGGUAGCUAAUACCGCAUAACGUCGCAAGACCAAAGAGGGGGACCUUCGGGCCUCUUGCCAUCGGAUGUGCCCAGAUGGGAUUAGCUAGUAGGUGGGGUAACGGCUCACCUAGGCGACGAUCCCUAGCUGGUCUGAGAGGAUGACCAGCCACACUGGAACUGAGACACGGUCCAGACUCCUACGGGAGGCAGCAGUGGGGAAUAUUGCACAAUGGGCGCAAGCCUGAUGCAGCCAUGCCGCGUGUAUGAAGAAGGCCUUCGGGUUGUAAAGUACUUUCAGCGGGGAGGAAGGGAGUAAAGUUAAUACCUUUGCUCAUUGACGUUACCCGCAGAAGAAGCACCGGCUAACUCCGUGCCAGCAGCCGCGGUAAUACGGAGGGUGCAAGCGUUAAUCGGAAUUACUGGGCGUAAAGCGCACGCAGGCGGUUUGUUAAGUCAGAUGUGAAAUCCCCGGGCUCAACCUGGGAACUGCAUCUGAUACUGGCAAGCUUGAGUCUCGUAGAGGGGGGUAGAAUUCCAGGUGUAGCGGUGAAAUGCGUAGAGAUCUGGAGGAAUACCGGUGGCGAAGGCGGCCCCCUGGACGAAGACUGACGCUCAGGUGCGAAAGCGUGGGGAGCAAACAGGAUUAGAUACCCUGGUAGUCCACGCCGUAAACGAUGUCGACUUGGAGGUUGUGCCCUUGAGGCGUGGCUUCCGGAGCUAACGCGUUAAGUCGACCGCCUGGGGAGUACGGCCGCAAGGUUAAAACUCAAAUGAAUUGACGGGGGCCCGCACAAGCGGUGGAGCAUGUGGUUUAAUUCGAUGCAACGCGAAGAACCUUACCUGGUCUUGACAUCCACGGAAGUUUUCAGAGAUGAGAAUGUGCCUUCGGGAACCGUGAGACAGGUGCUGCAUGGCUGUCGUCAGCUCGUGUUGUGAAAUGUUGGGUUAAGUCCCGCAACGAGCGCAACCCUUAUCCUUUGUUGCCAGCGGUCCGGCC
rnacentral:rRNA from 1 species